rnacentral:misc_RNA from 1 species
GUUUAAACCGCAAAUACCUGCCUUAUAACAUUGUUCUGCGCAAAUCAUAAUAACUUAUUGAUUGAAAUCUAGAUGUUUUAUUAAUACACUCAUUGAUUUCCACUUACUCAUCAAGAAACUCUUACACAUUUCUAUUCAAACAAAAAAAAAAGUUUAAAUUAAAAGUUAAUUUCUUUUAUAAAUCUGGUUAAAAUGACUUUGUUAAAUUCAUUUUAAUACUUAUAAAGUAUGUAAGUAUAAAAAAGUGAAAUAUAAAUGAAAGAGAAGAUAAUUGCACUCAUCUCUUGUGAAAAUAAUGAAAAUCAAAGAAAGUUAAUUUCAGAAGUUACAAUUUAUGUGGAUGUUUUUAAAGAUGAAAAAAAUAUUGACAAAGAUGAUAAUAAUUUGUUACGAAAACACACAUGUAAAUCAUCUCUAAGUGAUUUAAUAGGUUUUGAUUCAGUUCUAAAUGAAAAGUUUUUUUCUUGGAUGUUUUCUCGUCGAUAUGGGUGGGCAGAAAAUUAUGAUACACAAGAAGAUAAAAAAUCACCUGAGUCGAGUAAAAGUACUUCCUACCAACAAGAUUUAAACAUUGAAAUUGACAAGCUACUGGGUUGGAUUGAAUACCAUCAGCAUUUGUCAUACUACCUUCUUUGUGGUUACAAGCAUGUACUAGUAUCAAAUUCCACAUCUCCUAUUGUAAGAAAACAUUUAAUGUUGAGUUUGUUUCGAUGGUUAAAAAAUCUUUCAAUAAAGUAUGUUUUAGUGACUGAAAAAUGUUUUGUUCUCUUGAGGGAUAUCAUAGUAAUCGGAUUAACAGAUGUUUGGUCAGUUAUUCGUAAAGAUACAUCUUCAAGAUUAGCUAUAUUGUUACAAAUAAUCACUUUAGAACAAUUAAAAAAUUUGUUUACUACACUUACAGAGGUUUGUCGAAACGAAAAAACGAAGUGGCAAAAUGAACCAAAUUGGCAGGCUUCUGAUGGUGCUAUAAAAGGGAUUGAAAAAAUUCUUUCCAGUUGUGAAUGGGAGGCAGCAUCAAAUACAAAAACAGUUGAUUCAUCAUCUUCAGUUUUAAUCAAGAUUGGAAGAAUGUAUUUUGAUUCAUUACCAAGUUUCAUGCGUGAUGGAUUAGAAGGUAUUUUGUUUACAUUAUUUUCAAACUCUCAACUUAGCAUAAGAGAGACUGCUGGAAAAGCGUUGUCUAUCUUGCUCAAUAAAUCGGAUUUAAAUCAUUUUGUCGAAUCAUUUGAAAGAGUUGUGAAUCAUUUAGCAUUUUAUGUAAAAGAGAUUGAAACUCAAGCUAAUUUUAUGAAUCCUUAUGAAGCUGAAGGGUUUAUGAAUGUUUUAUUGUUUCUUAUCAAGAGUGUCCCCCUAUUGCAUUUGUUAUCAAAAUGGCAUUAUUAUUGGUCAAUAUUUUCCCACUAUUUAAGCCAUCCUGCAUCUACAGUACGUCAAGCUGCCAGUUCUCUUUUCAAAUAUCUUGUGAGCAAAGAGCAAUCAUCCCCUUGUUUGCCUAAAAUUAUUCUUCAAAGCUUAUGCAGUGGUUGGAAAAGUAAUACAGAUUUACUGGUACAACCGAUCCAUAAUUUAGAAAAAGAUCGAAUAAGUAUUCUGCAUGCAAAUAAAAUGUCAGAGCUGCAACUAACAUGGGAAUGGCGCGAGGGACGAUUGUUCGCAUAUGAACUGGUAUUAAUGUCAUUAAUUACAAAUCAUAAGUAUUUUAAUCUUUCAUCAAAGACUUCUUCACCCAGGUUAAGCUCAUCUGUUAAUGAAACAUUAGUCAAAAAGUUGUCACCACCUGUUUCAAGAGCUAAUGGUCAUAAUAAACUCUCCAAAUCACUUACUGUUUCAGGACUUUGGCACACCAAACAAAAGUUCAACAAUCCUGAAAGACCUGAAAUACCAUCACAGUUAACAAAAAUAUUAAAAGAGCCUCAUUCUGAUGUUGUUCUGUUAGAAGAGAAUAUCAAAGUAGUGAAUUUUACAGAAUUACCAGAUGGCGUAAGCAGUAAAGCAUAUUUAAUGGAUCAAGUUUCAUUAAACUGGUUAGAGAAACAAGAAUGUGUUUCUUUUAGAGUUAUCAUAAAACAGAUUUUACUGCAAUGCGUUGAAUGUUUAGUAGACUCACGUUGGGAACUUAGAAGAAUGGCAUUGCAGUUGAUUCCUGUAAUAAUCAAAGUGUUUCAACAAGUCUACAAAAGUUUUUUAAUUGAACUUUUUAAUGUUUCAAUAGUAAAUUCUCCUCUCUACUAUGGCUCAUGUUUGUGUCUUUUUCAUUUGCUAAAUAUUUCUAUUAAAGACAAAAAAAAUAGCUUUGAAUCUGGACUUACCAAGUUUUUAGAUGGUUAUGAAGAUUGUGACAGUUUAAUGGACAUGUGUGAAAAAGUGGCAGAGAAUUUAUCAUUAUGCUUCCAUAAGGAAACAUCAGAUAUAUCUAUAUCUUUGCUUGUACUUUUUUCAAGCUGCUCUGAUGAACCUAUAUCUGGAGUUAUCCAUCAGGCUAUAAGCAAUCAUUUUUACAAAUGUUACAGAAAUAUUUCUAGUGAGAGUUUGUCAGAGGAUGAAAAGUUUGAAGAAAAAAAAGAAACUUGUGGAUACUUUGUGUUCUUGUCAAAGUUACUUGGUAGAUUAUUGUUCAUGUGGAGACACUAAUUAUACGAUACUACUGCUACCAGUGUUUUUUAUGGCUUUAUUGCAUGUGAAAAAUGAUGCUUUAGAUGUUUCUGCUAUACUAAUAAGCUGUGAAAAGAUAUUAAAGAACAUUGAUUCAAAUACAUGUGAAACAAACACAGAUUUACUGCAAUCAUGUGAAAUAAUUGGACUUCUUUUUGACAGAUAC